UCAAAAUAAUUAAUUUUACUUUAAAUUCUUAAUUUAAAUUGUCAAUCACAUUAUCAAUCAAAUUUAAUCCAAACAAACUUCACAUCAAUCACUUAAAAUU
rnacentral:sRNA from 1 species